rnacentral:lncRNA from 1 species
UUUUUCAUUGCACACGGCUUUCCCUAUGUAUACAUCUAAACCUGAGUUACUUAUCCAGAAGAAUACUCUCCAAAAGUUAAAUACUCAGUGUUGAUGAAUCUCAAAUCCCCCUCUUACUACAUUACAUAAACAUUUCAGAAUCUUAUAGAGAAUACUAUUCGAAAUAAAAAAGAAAUGCAUUUUUUAUCCAAAUUUUAGGUAAGGAUGAUUUUGAUUUAUCAAUUUACAUUGAUUGGAUCGUUACUGAAAA